rnacentral:rRNA from 1 species
CCUACGGGAGGCAGCAGUGAGGAAUAUUGGUCAAUGGGCGAGAGCCUGAACCAGCCAAGUCGCGUGAGGGAGUACUGCCCUAUGGGUUGUAAACCUCUUUUGUCGGGGAGCAAAAGCCGGACGUGUCCGGCUGUGAGAGUACCCGAGGAAAAAGCAUCGGCUAACUCCGUGCCAGCAGCCGCGGUAAUACGGAGGAUGCGAGCGUUAUCCGGAUUUAUUGGGUUGAAAGGGUGCGCAGGCGGAUCUUUAAGUCAGCGGUAAAAUCGUGGGGCUCAACCCCAUCCAGCCGUUGAAACUGGGGAUCUAGAGUGUGCGAGAGGUAUGCGGAAUGCGUGGUGUAGCGGUGAAAUGCAUAGAUAUCACGCAGAACCCCGAUUGCGAAGGCAGCAUACCGGUGCACAACUGACGCUCAGGCACGAAAGCGCGGGUAUCGAACAGGAUUAGAUACCCCUGUAGUC